rnacentral:rRNA from 1 species
ACAGUGAUGGAAAGAUGAAAAGAACUUUGAAAAGAGAGUGAAAAAGUACGUGAAAUUGUUGAAAGGGAAGGGCAUUUGAUCAGACAUGGUGUUUUGCGCCCCUUGCCUCUCGUGGGCUUGGGACUCUCGCAGCUCACUGGGCCAGCAUCGGUUUUGGCGGCCGGAAAAAACCUAGGGAAUGUGGCUCUGCGCCUCGGUGUAGAGUGUUAUAGCCCUGGGGCCGGAAAAAACCUAGGGAAUGUGGCUCUGCGCCUCGGUGUAGAGUGUUAUAGCCCUGGGGAAUACGGCCAGCCGGGACCGAGGACUGCGAUACUUGUUAUCUAGGAUGCUGGCAUAAUGGUUAUAUGCCG